CUGCCUGGAAAACGGGAAAGGAGACGCCCGCUUUGCGCCCAAGUCAUGAGGGGAAAGGUGUCGCCGUGCCCCUGAGUCACAGCCAGAGCCGGGGACCCUGCCAUGUGGCACAGGAGGGGAGAAAGCUGGCGGGGACCAAACCCGGUGGAAGCAGGAGAAACAAGCAAGCAGCGCGGAGUAAAAUUAGGAAGAAAAAAAUAUUUGGAUGAGCACAUUUGUUCGCAAAAUACUGAAUUUGCCCCUUGCAAUCAAGAACAAGGCAAGGACACCACCUAUCACUACUGCCUCUGUCCUUACACAGUACUGGACUGGAGGGCCCAGCCAGCCAGCGCAAUAAGGCAAGAAAAAUAAAAGAAAGGUUGUGGUGGAUUGAUUCAGUGAAAACAUAACAAUGAAAACGAAUGAACUACUGCUACACAAAACUGCAUAGAAGAACCUUAAAACAAUAUCGGGCCAAAUAAUACAGACCCAAAAAAGUAACACAGUAUUUAAUUCCAUUUAUAAAAGUGCAAAGAGAUGCGACUGAAUUACACCGGAGAUGCAGAGUGCAGCUGCAAAGUCAUCUAUCAGGGAGAGAGAAUGGGGGCGGGGCUCUUCCAGGAGAAGACCCGAGGACGCUUCCGGGAAAUGACCACUUUCAACUUCUAAACCUGGCUGGGUGUUGCAUGGGUGCCAGAGUUAUAAUAACUUAUUAAAUUGUACAUUUAUGUUU